rnacentral:rRNA from 1 species
CACGUAGGGCGCAAGCGUUGUCCGGAAUUAUUGGGCGUAAAGAGCUCGUAGGCGGUGUGUCACGUCGGCCGUGAAAACCUGCAGCUUAACUGUGGGCGUGCGGUCGAUACGGGCAUCACUGGAGUUCGGCAGGGGAGACUGGAAUUCCUGGUGUAGCGGUGAAAUGCGCAGAUAUCAGGAGGAACACCGGUGGCGAAGGCGGGUCUCUGGGCCGAUACUGACGCUGAGGAGCGAAAGCGUGGGGAGCAAACAGG